UAAUACCGAAUAGGACCANNUUUNCCCCUGUCCUGUGGUNAGAAAGCUUUUGCGGUGUGGGAUGGGCCCGCGGCCUAUCAGCUUGUUGGUGGGGUGAUGGCCCACCAAGGCGACGACGGGUAGCCGGCCUGAGAGGGUGUCCGGCCACACUGGGACUGAGAUACGGCCCAGACUCCUACGGGAGGCAGCAGUGGGGAAUAUUGCACAAUGGGCGAAAGCCUGAUGCAGCGACGCCGCGUGGGGGAUGACGGCCUUCGGGUUGUAAACCUCUUUCACCAUCGACGAAGGUUCGGGUUUUCUCGGAUUGACGGUAGGUGGAGAAGAAGCACCGGCCAACUACGUGCCAGCAGCCGCGGUAAUACGUAGGGUGCGAGCGUUGUCCGGAAUUACUG
rnacentral:rRNA from 1 species